GACAGAGGUGCCGAGCGUUGUCCGGAAUCACUGGGCGUAAAGGGCGCGUAGGCGGUCUCUUAAGCGUGUGGUGAAAGCCCGGGGCUCAACUCCGGGUCGGCCGUGCGAACUGGGGGACUGGAGCUUGUCAGAGGCAGGCGGAAUUCCGGGUGUAGCGGUGGAAUGCGUAGAGAUCCGGAAGAACACCGGUGGCGAAGGCGGGUCUCUGGGCCGUUACUGACGCUGAGGAGCGAAAGCGUGGGGAGCGAACAGG
rnacentral:rRNA from 1 species